GCCUGGCUGGCUCAGUUGGUAGAGCAUGGGACUCACAAUCUCCAGAUCAUGAGUUCAAGCCCCACGUUGGGCA